AUAUAUCCCUAGAAUGCAUCUCCCAUCACUUACAUGUAUAAAUAUUGUCCCCAUUUCUUUUUUCUUGUUCCUUUUAUUGGGAUGGGGGAUGAUUUCUGUGCCUACAAUCUCCUAAUAUGUAAAUCCUGCUCUGGGGGAAAAUUCAUUAAACAGGAUUAUAGCAGAGACUGCAAUGCACUCAGAAUCAAUACAGCAAGUCUGUGGGAGGAAGUGGGAACCAGAGAGCUGAACCUUCACCUCUCACUUCCUGUUAAGGCCUAGUCUGUGGAAGUCUCAGGCUGGAAGCAUGCUUGGAGAGAACUCUCUGUAUCAGAUGGGCCGCCAGCCGCUGUCAAAGCACCUGACAAAGACUGACAACUGGUGAAUGGAAAAACGGAAUAAGCACUUGGAAGAAGAAAACCAACAACUGAGACAACUAAUUGUUACAGGCAAGUCAAUAUACCUACCUCUCAGCUAGAUUUUCCUGGCGUAAUGGAUACUUUGAAAACCACAAGAGCGCAGCUAAUAGCACUGAAGGUGGCAGUUCAUACUGUGUGGGACAGAAGGUGAUGCACACGAUACACCCAUCUGAAGAGUUGAGCUCAUCUGCUUGUCAAGUGUCGUACUCAAGGCCUAAACAGCUGCUACUUUGACAAAGUUUCCUGGGACUUCAUAAGGUGCGAUCAGUGACGCUGUUAUGAGAAAAAUUGCGGCGUUGAAAUAUCACUUGAAGGGAAACAUCAGGAACCUCAUCAGAAUACCACAAAUAAACUUUUAUGUCAUUAAUGUCAUUUACCACAGUUAACACCACUUUCUAUUCCCUGUGUUGAAGUUUUUGUAUAUUUGCAUGAUAAUAAAGUUGUGUGUAUUGUACUGUG